AUUGAACGCUGGCGGCAGGCCUAACACAUGCAAGUCGAACGGAGUGGCGGACGGGUGAGUAAUGUCUGGGAAACUGCUUUAUGGAUGGGGUUAACUCCUGGAAACGGUAGCUAAUACCGCAUACUAUCAGAUUAGCCUAGGUCGGAUUAGCUAGUUGGUGGGGUAAAGGCCUACCAAGGCGACGAUCCGUAACUGGUCUGCGAGGAUGAUCAGCAACACUGGAACUGAGACACGGUCCAGACUCCUACGGGAGGCAGCAGUGGGGAAUAUUGGACAAUGGGCGAAAGCCUGAUCCAGCCAUGCCGCGUGUGUGAAGAAGGUCUUCGGAUUGUAAAGCACUUUAAGUUGGGAGGCGUUACCAACAGAAUAAGCACCGGCUAACUUCGUGCCAGCAGCCGCGGUAAUUC
rnacentral:rRNA from 1 species